rfam:Hordeum vulgare subsp. vulgare, WGS project CAJW01000000 data, contig: morex_contig_114043
GAAGCAGGUGAUGACAAUCAGACAGGGACAUCAGAACCAUCUAAUGGGUAUGAUAGACCAAGUCUAUAAUGGGAAUCUCUCUGAUGUUUC